rnacentral:rRNA from 1 species
AUUGAACGCUGGCGGCAGGCCUAACACAUGCAAGUCGAACGAGUGGCGGACGGGUGAGUACUGUAUGGGCAACUGCCUGAUGGAGGGGGAUAACUACUGGAAACGGUAGCUACUUCCGCACACCACCAGAUGUGCCCAGAUGGGAUUAGCUAGUUGGUGGGGUAACGGCUCACCAAGGCGACGAUCCCUAGCGGGUCUGAGAGGAUGACCAGCCACACUGGAACUGAGACACGGUCCAGACUCCUACGGGAGGCAGCAGUGGGGAAUCUUGCACAAUGGGCGCAAGCCUGAUGCAGCCAUGCCGCGUGUAUGAAGAAGGCCUUCGGGUUGUAAAGUACUUUCAGCAGGGAAGCGUUACCCGCAGAAGAAGCACCGGCUAACUCCGUGCCAGCAGCCGCGGUAAUAC